UGUAGCACUGGUUACACAUCUCAAUGGGAGAGCAAUAGUCGAGACCACACCUUUACCUGACGUACAACGUGACGUAUGGCGCACACUUUCAAAACAACAAUGGCGGAUAGAAGAUAUUGAUCGAGGCGGCUAAUGCUCCUUUCGCUGGUUGCCAACCACCAUUAAAUAACAAGAAGAAGAAAAUAUUGAUCUGCUUUUCUUAGUUUUGCACGUUUAAGACACAGUUCAAACUCAAACAAAGCUGCAAAGCAGGAGAACAACAUGGCCAUCAACUAUUCUGUGCCACAGAUCCAGUUCGCUGCAGCACACAGUGAUGAUGAGAUGGUGGAAGAACAACAGAGACAAUUUACGGACCGUUAACAUGUGCAACUUAGAAGUAGUCAGAGGUAACUGGAUGGAGUUCAGUCAGGUUAAAUGCAAGGUUGAUUGGAUUAUAUCUGAAGAUCGUAUGCUAUUCAUGACAACUCUGCUAGACUCCAAAUUUCUCGUCCAUGAGGGAGUAUCUCAAAAGUACAUGAAACAACUAAACUUAACACUUUUCCCUAAAACGGACUGACAUGGGAAACAUUAAAGUUGGAUUGACACCAGCUAAUCAGUCUGAAGGGAUGGAAAUUGAAGAGGAACUCACAAGCCUCCUGCCGACACUAGACAGAGAGAAAAUAAUCUGCAUUGUAGAACAUCGUUAUUGGUGUACAACAAAAAAAUGGCAACAGACCAGAGAACCUGAAUGACACCAUUACUCUGGAGCCUUGCCCUGCUGCAUCAGCUGAAACAUCAAGCCAUCCACCUCACCCCUCCUCCUCCACCACCACCACUAUGUACAACCAUUACUCCAGCUCUUGGUCUCACACUUACAGAUUCCUUGGGAAAGAUUUCCACUCCGACUGUCGCAUGCAAUCACAAGAGGAGACAGUAUGGUUAGAAUUGUUGUGGAGGCCAUGCAAGUUCACUGCAGGAACCCUAAACGUGCAUUUUGUGAAGAAGUUGCUAAAAUCAUUGUAAACAGAUACCCUCAAACAUUUGCAGAUUUUACUGAAAAGGGAGAAAGACUGGGUUGUGGACAUUAUUCACUACUGAGAAGCAUCAAAUCUAGAGUUGAACAUGUUAAUCGAGAUAAUACAACACAUAGACUUCGUCAAACAAAGAGAACCAGGAAUGAGGAAGACUACAGUCCCAACAGUAAUGCAACCUCACCCAAAAAAGUUAGAUGCCUUGUUGAUAGCUAUAGUUGUAUAAAUUGGCAGCCAGUUGAACUUCCUGAGGGGGAAACGCCAGCUUCUUUAGAGGAAAAGAAGCACAUCUUGUUAACAAUUUUUAAUUCACAAGGACCUGGAGCUGUGGAGAGACCUGAUGUGGAUGACUUCAUGUGCCUCACAUAUAUUUCUCAGCAGCAGCUUAUCAACAGUUGUCCCUCACUUUCAGUAGCUGAAAUUCAGGAGCAGUGGCCAUUCUUGUUUACUCGGAAAGG